GCAGUCGAGCGGAACGAUGAUAGCUUGCUAUCAGGCGUCGAGCGGCGGACGGGUGAGUAAUACUUAGGAAUCUACCUAGUAGUGGGGGAUAGCACGGGGAAACUCGUAUUAAUACCGCAUACGACCUACGGGAGAAAGGGGGCAGUUUACUGCUCUCGCUAUUAGAUGAGCCUAAGUCGGAUUAGCUAGAUGGUGGGGUAAAGGCCUACCAUGGCGACGAUCUGUAGCUGGUCUGAGAGGAUGAUCAGCCACACCGGGACUGAGACACGGCCCGGACUCCUACGGGAGGCAGCAGUGGGGAAUAUUGGACAAUGGGGGAAACCCUGAUCCAGCCAUGCCGCGUGUGUGAAGAAGGCCUUUUGGUUGUAAAGCACUUUAAGCAGUGAAGAAGACUCCGUGGUUAAUACCCACGGACGAUGACAUUAGCUGCAGAAUAAGCACCGGCUAACUCUGUGCCAGCAGCCGCGGUAAUACAGAGGGUGCAAGCGUUAAUCGGAAUUACUGGGCGUAAAGGGAGCGUAGGUGGCUCGAUAAGUCAGAUGUGAAAUCCCCGGGCUCAACCUGGGAACUGCAUCUGAUACUGUUGAGCUAGAGUAUGUGAGAGGAAGGUAGAAUUCCAGGUGUAGCGGUGAAAUGCGUAGAGAUCUGGAGGAAUACCGAUGGCGAAGGCAGCCUUCUGGCAUAAUACUGACACUGAGGCUCGAAAGCGUGGGUAGCAAACAGGAUUAGAUACCCUGGUAGUCCACGCCGUAAACGAUGUCUACUAGUCGUUGGGUCCCUUGAGGACUUAGUGACGCAGCUAACGCAAUAAGUAGACCGCCUGGGGAGUACGGCCGCAAGGUUAAAACUCAAAUGAAUUUGACGGGGGCCCGCACAAGCGGUGGAGCAUGUGGUUUAAUUCGAUGCAACGCGAAGAACCUUACCUGGUCUUGACAUAUCUAGAAUCCUGCAGAGAUGCGGGAGUGCCUUCGGGAAUUAGAAUACAGGUGCUGCAUGGCUGUCGUCAGCUCGUGUCGUGAGAUGUUGGGUUAAGUCCCGCAACGAGCGCAACCCUUGUCCUUAGUUACCAGCGGGUUAAGCCGGGAACUCUAAGGAUACUGCCAGUGACAAACUGGAGGAAGGCGGGGACGACGUCAAGUCAUCAUGGCCCUUACGACCAGGGCUACACACGUGCUACAAUGGUAGGUACAGAGGGCAGCUACACAGCGAUGUGAUGCGAAUCUCAAAAAGCCUAUCGUAGUCCAGAUUGGAGUCUGCAACUCGACUCCAUGAAGUAGGAAUCGCUAGUAAUCGCGGAUCAGAAUGCCGCGGUGAAUACGUUCCCGGGCCUUGUACACACCGCCCGUCACACCAUGGGAGUUGAUUGCACCAGAAGUGGAUAGCUUAACCUUCGGGGAGGC
rnacentral:rRNA from 1 species